UCUUACUGCUCUUGGUGGGCAGAAUUUGGCAGACACGGUGAGGACAAUGCUGAGGAAAAUUGCCACAAACAAAGUCCUGGAGCAGCUUGGCCUCCGUGGAAAGUCAGGAAAAGUGGCGUUUGAGGACUUGCCCCUUUACAGAAUAAUAAAUAAGGCAUGCAGGGGUGUUUACAAGCAGACGACCACAGCUGAAGUGGAUUGUGAGCUUGGAGAGGUCCUGAAACUGGCCACUUUUCGAAAGGGAGGUUCAAAAUUUGAGGAGAAGAGGAGGAAUUAAGAGGGAGGACAAAAAAGGAAAAAGAAACAAGCAAAAGAACAGAGUGAGAUGCGAGGAUUUGGGUUUCCCUGCUUGGGCUGCUGCCCCCGCGACCCGACCUCGGAUAAGCGGAAGAAGAUGGAUGGAUGGAGGGAUGGAUUUA